rnacentral:lncRNA from 1 species
UUAAUUGAAAAGGGUAAUCCCCCUAAUUCAUGAAAUCAAAAGAACAAGGGAAUGGAAUCCCUAAUUCCUCUUCCUUUCUCUCCGGCGACUACGGCUUCAGCCUGCAGAGGAGGCGGCAACGCUGGUGGUUUUCGACGCGAAGUCGUCUCCUCUUUUCCAUCAUCCUCUUAUUUCCUCUAUCCACCUCCAUUGUAGCUUCUCCUCUUUUCUCUCUUCUCCGGCGGCAGCGGUGGUUAGAGACCAAACUAGCCAAGACGUCUUAACAACAGUAGAGCAUAGAGACGCUGUAUCGUUUUCGAAGCUCCUCCCCAGAGACUGUUCGUGAUGGUUCUCGACCAAAAAGCAUAUAGGUUAUGGUUCUAAGAUCCAAGGUGAAUUGAUCGAUGAAGAUUAAAUUGGGGACCUCGGUGGUUGUGACUAGGAAUCAGCAACGUCCAGGAAAAUUGGUAAGCUACCAUAUCCCUUUAGUAUAAGAUGUUUUUUGUUUACUGUUCAUGUUGUACACUUGUGGCUGAUGCUGAAGGUUGAUGUCGUUAUUGUCGAUGUUGUUUUGUUGUUGUUAUGGCUGAUUCGGAUUGUUAAAGGUUUGAUUUCAAGGUGGUGGGGGAUCAAAGUUUGGUUUUUCUAAUAAUGGGUUCGGUAUUUUUUUUUUGUUGAGAAAGCUUGUCGAAUUGUCUGAAAUAAUUGUGAUUAUUAGUGGUGUUUGUGGUAUUGGUUGUGAGGAAUGAAAUCGGAUGAAAACAUACUCGAAUGAAUCAUCUAUAAACUAUCAAUUAUCCCAAAAAUAUUUUAUGAUCAUGAUGCACCUUUGUUUUAACUCCUAAUCAAGUAUGGACAUAGAUGUUUCUGUAAAAUCAAACUCAGUGUAGAUUUAGAACAUAAUAUAGAAGGACAUGUUAUUGACCUAAAUGUAUUCAUGUCUACAAGUUUGCUGCUAUCAUCUCCUCAUUGAGUUCUUACUUAUUGUCCUUCAAGUAUUGAUAUCUAUUUGCCGUUUCUUUGUUAUUGCUUCUCUUUUCCUAUGUAUCUCUGCUUGCUCUAUUUUCUCCGUUGUAUGUAUGAGAUGUUACACUCUCUUUUCUGGCCUUUGUGUGUUAUACGUAUGUGUGAUAGAUAGCUAUUGUGUUGUGUAUAUAGAUUGCUCUCUGAUUGUUGUGUGUUCUUUUGUAUGUAGCAGAUGCGUAUCCUAUAUGUGUGAUAUCUGAUUGCUUGUGUUGUAGGUGUAUGUCUUUUUUGUGUGUAUCUCUCUUUCUUCUCUCUCUUCAACUUACUAUUUUUUGUUUCUGACUUUUCUAUUUCGACUGCUGAUGUAUGUAUGCUUGUGUAUGACUUAUGUAGCAUAUGUGUGCUUCCUAUUAUAGUUGACUUGUGUAUCUGAUGGCAGACCCUUAGGCUUCCACAAUAUCAUGAUCAUUGCCUUCUAAUUAUCCCAUUUUAAACCACUCAAGGAAAAUUGCCAAGUAUAAUGAUCGUAAUUAUAGCAAGUGUAACUGAAAAAGACAUUAAUUUGCAUCUGCUUGGCUGCCCCAUCACAUGUAACUCUUGGCAGAUUACUCCUUCCCUUUGAAUUCCUCGUGUGAUUGAUUUGAUUGUAACCUUCUCACUAUUUGUUAUUCCCUAUUAAUUUCUGAUAUUUGCCCAUACAACUCUGGUCACUAAUAUGCAAUUGUAACAGCUCUGCAAUUAUGGCUGCUGGAUCAAAUGCCAUGAGUCGGAUCAAAUACUAUGAGUCUUUUUUCUUUAAGAAGAGAAAGAAAGAAACAUUUUUUAGAUAUCAGUAUGCCAGGUUGAUAGGUGUUGCCGUUGUUCCUCUAAACUUCGGUGAUUUGGUCUUUGUUUUCUUUUUUAGUCAUGUGUUAAUCCUAUAGCUUGUAUUACACUUAUGUAUCAAGAUUAAUGCAAGUAUUUUAUGGUGUAUAUAAGUGAGAGUACCUCUUGUAUUCUUUUCAAUAUAUUUUGUCAAAGUGCAAGAAUAAGAAUGAGAGGAAUUUAUAUUUGACUUUCUCAGGUUCCCACUUUGAAUGUUUCUCUUCCUUUAUUAUCAUUGCCAUAGG